rnacentral:rRNA from 1 species
AGCGAACGCUGGCGGCAGGCUUAACACAUGCAAGUCGAGCGGGCCCUUCGGGGUCAGCGGCGGACGGGUGAGUAACGCGUGGGAACGUGCCUUCUGGUCUGGAAUAACCCUGGGAAACUAGGGCUAAUACCGGAUACGCCCUUUUGGGGAAAGGUUUACUGCCGGAAGAUCGGCCCGCGUCUGAUUUGCUCGUUGGUGGGGUAACGGCCUACCAAGGCGACGAUCAGUAGCUGGUCUGAGAGGAUGAUCAGCCACACUGGGACUGAGACACGGCCCAGACUCCUACGGGAGGCAGCAGUGGGGAAUAUUGGACAAUGGGCGCAAGCCUGAUCCAGCCAUGCCGCGUGAGUGAUGAAGGCCUUAGGGUUGUAAAGCUCUUUUAUCCGGGACGAUAAUGACGGUACCGGAGGAAUAAGCCCCGGCUAACUUCGUGCCAGCCGCCGCGGUAACAC